GACGAACGCUGGCGGCGUGCUUAACACAUGCAAGUCGAACGGACAGGUCCUGCUUUUGUGGGGGGCUCGAGUGGCGAACGGGUGAGUAACACGUGAGUAACCUGCCCUUGACCUUGGGAUAACUUCAGGAAACUGGGGCUAACUACGGCUAGGAGCUCCUGCUGCACGGCGGGGGUUGGAAAGUUUCGGCGGUUGGGGAUGGACUCGCGGCUUAUCAGCUUGUUGGUGGGGUAGUGGCUUACCAAGGCUUUGACGGGUAGCCGGCCUGGGAGGGUGACCGGCCACAUUGGGACUGGGAUACGGCCCAGACUCCUACGGGAGGCAGCAGUGGGGAAUGUUGCACAAUGGGCGGAAGCCUGAUGCAGCGACGCCGCGUGCGGGAUGACGGCCUUCGGGUUGUAAACCGCUUUCGCCUGUGACGAAGCGUGAGUGACGGUAAUGGGUAAAGAAGCACCGGCUAACUACGUG
rnacentral:rRNA from 1 species